AGGGCUAAUGUCUUUGGAGAAAGGGGUUCCGUUUGGACAUCCGCUCUGGGACAUGAGGGAGUGGCUGGGUAAGCCGCAAAGGGCGGCGAGGGGGCGCGGUAGGGCCCGCGGCCAGGGCGCCCGAGGCCAGGCGCGGACCCGUGGGCGGUCGCAACUGGAGCCUGAAAGCAGAGGGGCGCAGACGAUGCGAGAAAAAUUGUGGAUGCCCUGGAACGGGCUCAUCGUGAUCGGGAAGAGAAUGGAGCUCCUGGGUAGAAACACGCAAAAGCCUAGGAUGUGGGACCCGAAGUUUGAGUCUGAGGACUGGAGACUGGAAGAUGUGGAAAAGGCAGCCUUGAGAGGAAAGUCAGGCCGAAGUCAGGAAAGGAUGGAUGUGAAACGAGUGCGCAGUGUAGCAAGUGCAUUACAGGCUUCCGCGGGUUUGCGGAAAGACACCUCCAAGGAGGUGUGGGGAAAGCAAGAAGUCAGACACGAAAUAGAGGCUGAAUCUGAGAAUGCAGGGACUACAGCGGGGUCUAGGGGGGGGAUCUGGGUUUAAAGAGAGGUUGAUGUUUACUGGAGUGGGAACCAGUGGAGAGGACUCGAGAUCCAGAGGAUACGAACUAGGGCAGAAUGCGGAGGAGCUGAGGUCAAGUGGAGAGAAGAAGCUCAGGUCAGGUGGAGAGAAGCUGAGGUCGAGUGGAGAGAAGCUGAGGUCAGGUGGAGAGAAGCUGGUGUUCAGCGGAGAAAGGCGGGGAUCCAGGGGAGAGAAGCUGGUGACUAGUGGAGAGAAAUUGGAGGGUUCAAGAAUGGGGAGCAUAAAUGAAGAGAAAAUUGAAAGAGUGGUGGAAGUUACUGGUGAUGAAAGAUUGAUAGAAAAUUACUGAUGCUGAGAUGGACAUUCCUUUUGAAAAGAUCUCUGCCUUCCCAAGACUAUCCACUGCCGGCCUCCUCUGGUGAUUAUCUGAGUACCGAGAAAUUGUUGCCUUUCUUAUAAGAAGCCUGCACAGGCACCAGGUCAAGAUGAGCAGUUUUCGGUUGUGUGGGUCUCUCAGAUUGCGCCUCGCAGUAUAUAAAUUGUGAACCAAAUAAUUAGACUUGUUCUUUGGCUGGAUUACAUUUUCUCCUGGAAUAUCAGAUGCAUUCCACCGAGACCACAGAAAGAAAAAGUGAAGAUCAAGAAACUGUGACACCGCUUUAAAGAAGAUCUGACCACCUUGGGCCCGUAUGGCAACCCUUGCUGCCUGUCUGCAUUCCUGUGCUCUGCAGUUGGCCAGAGCCGGCCUGCCUGCCUGGGGUCCCUGCCCACCUUUGCAGGUGCCCGAGUUUGCUGGUCCAGUUUGAUGCCAAGCUGUACUUGUGCAUUUGAUCUCGUGUCAAGGUUCUGCCCGCUGGGUCCACCCGAAUGCGCCUCUGCCCCUGCUUCAAGCCAGCAGCCGUGUGGUCCGGGCUCCUCACUCACACCGCCACCUUCUCAGCACCUCUUCAUCUCUGCUGCAGUUUGUCAGUGAGCCGGAUGUCUUGCUAGGUCCCAGCCAGCUCUCCCGUCUCUCAGAAUUUUGUUACCAGUUCUUGUUGGCACCUGGGCAGGGCUCAAAAAAACGCGGUGGUGAGGCUGAACGAAUGACAGCAUCCGAUUGUCGGAUUGUCGGUGGGACGGCAACAGGACUACCAACUCUUCUCACGCCUCCCGGGACAUCUGCCAAGGGCCCAGGCCCGGCAGCCCCCUCCUCCAUCCCUGGUGGGGGCGUGAUAAAAAAAAAACGCUGAACUGGGACUCGGGGACCAGGGUCCCCAGAGCGAUCAGGUC